rnacentral:rRNA from 1 species
AUUGAACGCUGGCGGCAGGCCUAACACAUGCAAGUCGAGCGGAUGAAGGGAGCUUGCGCCUGGAUUCAGCUGCGGACGGGCGAGUAAUGCCUAGGAAGCUGCCUGGUAGUGGGGGAUAACAUCCGGAAACGGGCGCUAAUACCGCAUACGUCCUGAGGGAGAAAGGGGGGGAUCUUCGGACCUCACGCUAUCAGCUGAGCCUAGGUCGGAUUAGCUAGUUGGUGGGGUAAAGGCCUACCAAGGCGACGAUCCGUAACUGGUCUGAGAGGAUGAUCAGUCACACUGGAACUGAGACACGGUCCAGACUCCUACGGGAGGCAGCAGUGGGGAAUAUUGGACAAUGGGCGAAAGCCUGAUCCAGCAAUGCCGCGUGUGUGAAGAAGGUCUUCGGAUUGUAAAGCACUUUAAGUUGGGAGGAAGGGCAGUAAGUUAAUACCUUGCUGUUUUGACGUUACCAACAGAAUAAGCACCGGCUAACUUCGUG